AAUAUUUAACCUCAGCCUCAGCACUCAGCACAUGGAAUAGAAACUGUACAGUAUAGUAGAUAGCCAUGUCUACUACUCUGAUCCAAGUGACCAAUGUGUCGCCCUCUGCUGGCCUCCAACAAAUGAGGGAGCUGUUCAGUUACUUUGGAGACAUUGAGGAACUGAGGCUCUUCCCUGAGGAGGAGUUUGCUGCUCUGAGUGUCCCCUCCAAGGUGUGCUUCAUCAACUUCAUGGAGGAAGACAGUGCAGCUGCUUGUCUCCACCUUAGCAACACUGUGCUCAUAGACAGAGCUCUCAUCAUAGCACGAUCAAGACACGCUGAGAUUCCUGAUGGUUCAGCUGCGAUGUUCCUGGCAGCCCCGGCCAUUGCCCUGGCCAACAGCGCUAGCAAACCAAUGGGUCACACUGCACCUCUCCUCCCGACACCUCCCUCUAUGGGGGCACCAGCACCCACUGGACCAGCCUCCAUGGCUAUGGGAGCUGCUAUGAACCCUGCAGCUCUCACUGCCCCCCUCAUAUCCAUGAUGGGCACGGUGGUCCCCCAACCUCCCCCUCUCACUGGUAACGUAGACCCCACCAAGAUCGAAGAGAUACGACGCACCAUCUACGUCGGCAACCUGGCUAGCAACAUGACGGCUGAACAGGUGCUCACUUUCUUCCAGCCUUGUGGUGAGAUCAAAUACGUGAGGAUGGCCGGAGACGAGACCCAACCCACCAGGUUUGCGUUUGUUGAGUUUGCGAUACCUGAGUCUGUGCCCAUAGCCCUUCAAUACAAUGGAGCCAUGUUUGGAGAGCGUCCAAUCAAAGUGAACCACAGCAAGAAUGCCAUAGUGAAGCCUCAGGGCCCCACUGCCCAGGAAACCAAGAGGGACGUGGACGAGGCCAUGAAGAAGGUGAAGUGUGAAAGAGGCAAGGAUAGCCAUUGAUGCCAGUAUCGUGGUGCCAGAGGUGGUACAAGUACCUGUAGCCGCCACCAGAGGCCACCAAAGACAUGAUGAUGCUGAGAUUCCUACUGCAAUGUUCCUGGCAGCCCCAGCCAUUGCUCUGGCCAACGGCGCUAGCAAACCAAUGGGUCACACUGCACCACCUCAGGACCCCACUUCCCAGGAGACCAAGAAGGACGUGGACGAGGCCAUGAAGAAGGUGAAAGAGGCAAUGAUGGCCAUUGAGGCCCGUGUCCUGGUACCAGAGGUACAAGUACCUGUAGCCGCCAUCAGAGCCCACCAAAGACAUGAUCAAGUUGCAGAUAUGCUAUGAUCGAGUGAGGGCCUCCUCCCUGCGUACGCACAGUGGACCAGGAGGGGAGGGGACAGGGGCGGAGGUUGGGUACCCCCAGGAGGGUGCAGUUCAGUAGAGAUGUAGACUCUACUAACACUCACUCCUAGCUCUCCUAGAACCAGCUCUACAUGUAUAGUAUAGAGACAGUGUGUAAUUUUGAUCAAUGAUAUUUUUGUGGAUGUGUUGGGGGCGCAGCAUUUAAGGGAAAGUCCCAGCUUCCUCCCCGAGGCAAGGAGCUUUGCCGUAUCUUUAUAAACCGGUGAUGAUGGGACUGGCCAGUGAGUCAUAUGGCUUUUAAAGGUGAUCCUGAGAUUCAGAAACAGAAAGG